CAGAUGGAGAGUAUUGAUGUAUAGCAGGGGAUCAGGCUUGCACCCUGGAUUAGCGGCGAAAGGGAGAGUAACGCGUAGAUACCUACCCUCAGAUCUGGGAUAGCGGCGGGAAACUGCCGGUAAUACCGGAUAAUGUCUCCGGACCAAAGGUGUGAUUAUAGUCUGGGGAUGGGUCUGCGUCCUACUAGCUUGUUGGUGGGGUAAUGGCCCACCAAGGCUUCGAUGGGUAGCGGGUGUGAGAGCAUGACCCGUCUCACUGGGACUGAGACACUGCAUAAGACACCUACGGGUGGCUGCAGUCGAGAAUCUUCCGCAAUGGACGAAAGUCUGACGGAGCGACGCCGCGUGCGGGAUGAAGGCCUUCGGGUUGUAAACCGCUGUCAGUUGGGAUUGAAAUGCAUAGGGGUUCUCCCCUGUGUUUGACCGAUCUUCAGAGGAAGCGCAGACAGUAAGUUCGUGCCAGCAGCCGCGGUAACACGAACUGCGCGAACGUUAUUCGGAAUCCACUGGGCUUAAAGAGUUCGUAGGCGGCCUGGUAAGUCGGGUGUGAAAUCCCUCAGAUUUAACUGAGGAAUUGCGCCCGAUACUGUCAGGCUUGAGGGGGAUAGAGGUGAGCGGAAUCUGAUGUGGAGCGGCGAAAUGCAUUGAUAUCAUCAGGAACACCGGUGGCGAAAGCGGCUCACUGGAUCUCUUCUGACGCUGAGGAACGAAAGCUAGGGGAGCGAACGGGAAGUAGAUACCCCGGUAGUCCUAGCUGUAAACGAUGAGCACUAGGUCGAGGAAACACCACAUUUUCUCGGCCGUAGCGAAAGUGUUAAGUGCUCCAUCUGAUAGAGUAUGGUCGUUAGGAUGAAACUCAAAGGAAUUGACGGGGGCUCACACAACAGUGUGGAGGAUGUGGCUUAAUUCGAGGCUACGCGAAGAACCUUAUCCUGGUCUUGAUAACAGUGCUUGGGUAUUACCUGAUGAAAGCAGGUAGUGCCUUUCGGGGAGCCCUUGCACAGGUGCUGCAUGGCUGUCGUCAGCUUAUGUCGUGAGAUGUCGGGUUAAGUCCCUUAACGAGCGAAACCCUUGUCCCUAGUUGCCAGCGAACAUGCCGGGGACUCUAGGGAGACUGCCGGUGUUAAACCGGAGGAUCCAGGUGGGGAUGACGUCAAGUACCUCAUGGCCUUUAUGAUCAGGGCUGUAUGACGUCCUACAAUGCGGCGUACAAAGGGAUGCCAACUCGCGAGAGCUAGCAAAUCCCAAAAAGCGUCGCCCAGUUCGGAUUGCAGGCUGCAACUCGCCUGCAUAUAAGCCGGAAUCGCUAAUCAAACGCGGGUCAGCAUACCGCGUUGAAUGUGUUCCAGUGAGCCUUACAG
rnacentral:rRNA from 1 species